rnacentral:rRNA from 1 species
UACGUAGGUGACAAGCGUUGUCCGGAUUUACUGGGCGUAAAGAGCGCGCAGGCGGUCGUUCAAGUCGAGUGUGAAAGCCCCCGGCUCAACUGGGGAGGGUCAUUCGAUACUGAUCGACUCGAAGGCAGGAGAGGGUAGUGGAAUUCCCGGUGUAGCGGUGAAAUGCGCAGAUAUCGGGAGGAACACCAAUGGCGAAGGCAGCUCGCUGGGACGGUACUGACGCUGAGACGCGAAAGCGUGGGGAGCAAACAGG